AGCGAACGCUGGCGGCAGGCUUAACACAUGCAAGUCGAACGCCCCGCAAGGGGAGUGGCAGACGGGUGAGUAACACGUGGGGAUCUGCCCAAUGGUACGGAAUAACUCAGGGAAACUUGUGCUAAUACCGUAUGUGCCCGCAAGGGGAAAGAUUUAUCGCCAUUGGAUGAACCCGCGUCGGAUUAGCUAGUUGGUGUGGUAAAGGCGCACCAAGGCGACGAUCCGUAGCUGGUCUGAGAGGAUGAUCAGCCACACUGGGACUGAGACACGGCCCAGACUCCUACGGGAGGCAGCAGUGGGGAAUAUUGGACAAUGGGCGCAAGCCUGAUCCAGCCAUGCCGCGUGAGUGAUGAAGGCCUUAGGGUUGUAAAGCUCUUUCAGUGGGGACGAUAAUGACGGUACCCACAGAAGAAGCCCCGGCUAACUUCGUGCCAGCAGCCGCGGUAAUAC
rnacentral:rRNA from 1 species